GCUAAAAUUUCGCCUUUAUAUACGACCCAUCAUGUCUCCCCUUGUCCCUAAGCUUCUUCACUCUCACUCACUAGCUCUUUCAAGUGUUUCUUCUAUACCUUGGCCAUUUAUCUUACAUUAUCAAUCUUAAAUUUUUCUUACCACCCAAAACAAUUAACAUGGCCGGUAAGAAUGUGUCUUUGACAGUUACGGCAGCUGCGGCAGAAGAUGGUAGCUUUGUCGAAGACGACGAUGGUGUAGUGUGGAAGGGUAAUUCAUUAAAUAUUGUUAAACACUAAUGGUGUAACAACCAUCAACACAAAAAAAAGGCUUUGCAAUUACACUCUCCCGAAUUUCUAACACAUCAGAAUUGGGAGAGUGUGAAUAUUGCAUUGCGGGGAAUUGAGGGUAGCGGUCCGAAUUACCUUUAACUUUUACUACUUUAUUUUUAUUUUGUAUGUUGCAUCUUUCUUUAUGUAUUUGUCACUGAUUUUCUUUAAUUUUCAUUUUACUUUUGAUUAUGUUUUUAUGUUAUGAUUAUGAUGGAAUCAUGGGAUGUAAGAGAUGCAUACGAGGUUGCUGGUUUGGUACUUGAUGCUUCUGGCAUGCAUCACUUACACUCAUUAAUGUACUAUGUUUUGUUAUGAGUUUGACUCUACUAUAUAAAAGGAAAUGACUUUGUUUUUUUUUCUUUAUCUUCUUCUCUUGAAUCUUCAUUCUGUUGUUCUAAUAUGCUUUCUAUUUGCUUUUUCCUUCGAUGGAGUGAAACAAAGUAGGCAAUGAUAAGAUACCAAAUGUCCAAAAGAAAUUAAUAUUAAAAAAAGAAAGAAUGAGAAAGAAGUAAAGCAACAGAAAAAGCAGAGUAUGUCUUUGAUGAAAGAAAAGCUGCACAAUUUGGUUUUUAAUCUCUCUU
rnacentral:lncRNA from 1 species